UACGGGGGGGGGGCAAGCGUUGUCCGGAUUUAUUGGGCGUAAAGAGCGUGUAGGCGGCCAGGUAGGUCAGCUGUGAAAACUCGAGGCUCAACCUCGAGACGUCGGUUGAAACCACCUGGCUAGAGUCCGGAAGAGGAGAGUGGAAUUCCUGGUGUAGCGGUGAAAUGCGCAGAUAUCAGGAAGAACACCCGUGGCGAAGGCGGCUCUCUGGGACGGUACUGACGCUGAGACGCGAAAGCGUGGGGAGCAAACAGG
rnacentral:rRNA from 1 species